CUCUGUGAUAAUAAAUUUAUCUAUUGCGGAAGUAACUNUGUUACAUUAAGUUCUAGGUAAAUAUUUGAUUAUGACAUAAUUUAUCUAUAAGUCUUGACCAAGUCUCGUGCCAGCAGUCGCGGUAACACGGGGAAGACAAGUGUUAUUCAUCUUUAUUUGGUUUAAAGGGUACCUAGACAGUUAAUCAAGCCUACRUCAGGUACUAAUUAACUARAGUUUUAAAGGAAAAGGCUAGAACGGUGAGUGGAGAGAUGAAAUAUUUUGAUACACCUUAGAUACUGACAACGGCGAAAGCAACCUUUUAUAUAAAAACUGACGUUGAGGGACGAAGGCUAUAUGUAAUUAACAGGAUUAGAUACCCCAGUAUUCUUAGCAGACAAUGAUGAGUGUCAUACGUAAGUAUUUUAAUAAAAUGUUAAAUAUAUAUUAAACUUUAUAUACGUAUAAAUGAAAGUGUAAGCACUCCACCUUAAGAGUAACAUGGCAACAUAGGAACUGAAAUCAUUAGACCGUUUCUGAAACCAGUAGUGAAGUAUGUUGUUUAAUUUGAUGAUCCACAAAGAACCUUACCACAAUUUGAAUAAUUUACAGGAGUUGCACGGCUGUCUUCAGUUGAUAUCGUGAGAUUUUGGUUAGUUCCAUUUAAUCAACGUAAACCCUUACUUUAUUUUU
rnacentral:rRNA from 1 species